rnacentral:lncRNA from 1 species
GUGAUCAGUAUGCGUAAGGUUCUGGGUUCAGAGACUGAAAGGAUGGCUUAAUGGUGAGCAGCGUGCUCGCUCUCGCUCUCUCUCUCUCUCUCUGUUUUCUGAGACAGGGUUUCUCUAUGUAACAGCCCUAUCCUGGACUCACUUUGUAGACCAGGCUGGCCUCAAACUUAAAUAGAUCUUCCUGCCUCUGCCUCCUGAGUCCUGGGAUUUUUAUUCAGUCCAGUUUAUGGAAUGGUGUUGACCACAAUUAGAUGGGUCUUUCCCCCUCAAAUAACCUACCCUAAAUAAUCAUAUGUGUGUGUGUGUGUGUGUGUGUGUGUAUGUGUGUGUGUGUGUGUGUGUGUGUGUGUGUGUGUGUGUGUGUGUGUAUGUAUAUAUAUGCAUGCCUAGGGGCUAUACUUAUCUAAAUAAUCCUUCACAGGUAUGUCCAGGGGUUUUUCUCCUGCAUGAUUCUACCAUCACAGUGAAACAGUGUCUAGAAGAGAAAUUUAGGAAGAGCCCACGUGCUAACUUGAAACAGUGUACAAUAAGUCAUCAGUCAUUGGGGGGAGCUUACAAAGGAAUAAAAGAAAUUAAAUCCAAACAGGUGAUAAUAGAUGAAGAAACUCAGGUUAAUGAUUUGACAUACUUACAUACACAAAAAAUAGAACUAGUAUUCUCUCCUAGUUCAGUUAUCAUUCAUCAUUACUCAAAUUGGGGUUAUUAAAUGGUAAUAGAAAAUACCAAUACCUUAAAUAGACCCUAAAUUUUCAGUCGUAUUUCAUUGGCAUUUGAAGGUACUGUGUUAUAAGUAAAAGUUUA